AACGCACAUUGCGCCCUUUGGCAUUCCGAAGGGCAUGCCUGUUCGAGCGUCAUUACAACCCUCAAGCGCCAGCUUGGUGUUGGGCGUCUUCUUGCUGGGCGGCCUUCUGCGGCCCAGCUCGCCCCAAACUCAUCGGCGUCCGGCGGUGGGUCCUUUGCGCGUAGCAGAAACGUUCGCGCUGGGGCCGUGCCGCGGGGCUGCUGCAACCGCACUUUUUCGUUUUUGACCUCGGAUCAGGUAGGGAUACCCGCUGAACUUAA
rnacentral:misc_RNA from 1 species